GGAAUAUUGGUCAAUGGGGGCAACCCUGAGCCAGCCAAGUCGCGUGAAGGAUGAAGGUCUUAUGGAUUGUAAACUUCUUUUAUACAGGAAUAAAUUGGGGGACGUGUCCCCUUUUGCAUGUACUGUAUGAAUAAGGAUCGGCUAACUCCGUGCCAGCAGCCGCGGUAAUACGGAGGAUCCGAGCGUUAUCCGGAUUUAUUGGGUUUAAAGGGUGCGCAGGCGGGAUGUUAAGUCGGCGGUGAAAUUUUGCAGCUCAACUGUAAAAGUGCCUUCGAUACUGGCUUCCUUGAGUGUAGAUGAAGUAGGCGGAAUUUGUGGUGUAGCGGUGAAAUGCUUAGAUAUCACGAGGAACUCCGAUUGCGCAGGCAGCUUACUAAACUACAACUGACGCUCAUGCACGAAGGCGUGGGGAUCAAACA
rnacentral:rRNA from 1 species